rnacentral:rRNA from 1 species
GACGAACGCUGGCGGCGCGCCUAACACAUGCAAGUCGAACGGAGCUACCUUUUCGGAAGUUUUCGGAUGGAAGAGGAAGUAGCUUAGUGGCGAACGGGUGAGUAACACGUGAGGAACCUGCCUUAAAGAGGGGGACAACAGUUGGAAACGACUGCUAAUACCGCAUAAGCCCACGGUGCCGCAUGGCACAGGGGGAAAAGGAGAAAUCCGCUUUAAGAUGGACUCGCGUCCAAUUAGCUAGAUGGUGAGGUAAAGGCUCACCAUGGCGACGAUUGGUAGCCGGACUGAGAGGUUGAACGGCCACAUUGGGACUGAGACACGGCCCAGACUCCUACGGGAGGCAGCAGUGGGGAAUAUUGCACAAUGGGGGAAACCCUGAUGCAGCGACGCCGCGUGGAGGAAGAAGGUUUUCGGAUUGUAAACUCCUGUCUUCGGGGACGAUAAUGACGGUACCCGAGGAGGAAGCCACGGCUAACUACGUGCCAGCAGCCGCGAUAAAACGUAGGUGGCAAGCGUUGUCCGGAAUUACUGGGUGUAAAGGGAGCGCAGGCGGGUCGGUAAGUUGGGAGUGAAAACUAUGGGCUCAACCCAUAAAUUGCUUUCAAAACUGCUGAUCUUGAGUGGUGUAGAGGUAGGCGGAAUUCCCGGUGUAGCGGUGGAAUGCGUAGAUAUCGGGAGGAACACCAGUGGCGAAGGCGGCCUACUGGGCACUAACUGACGCUGAGGCUCGAAAGCAUGGGUAGCAAACAGG